UUGGCCGCUAAAGCUGCUCUUCCUGAAUCGAUAUGGUUUGUCGAUGUUGGGAUCCUCGACGGUGAUUAGCAACUGAAUCGUGGAUGGAAGUACACUUUACUUCAAAGGAUUGCACACAUAUGAAGCGGUUAUUGAUGAAGUCAUGGAAAAGGGACUUGCCAAUGCUACACAGUCAUGAAAUCUUUGUCUGUUUCACUCUUCUUCCAUACAUGAUAUACAAGGUUCUUGGG